rnacentral:rRNA from 1 species
AGAGACAGCAGUCGCCGCGGUAAUACGGAGGGUGCAAGCGUUAAUCGGAAUUACUGGGCGUAAAGCGCACGCAGGCGGUUUGACAAGUCAGAUGUGAAAUCCCCGGGCUUAACCUGGGAACUGCAUUUGAAACUGUCAGGCUGGAGUCUUGUAGAGGGGGGUGGAAUUCCAGGUGUAGCGGUGAAAUGCGUAGAGAUCUGGAGGAAUACCGGUGGCGAAGGCGGCCCCCUGGACAAAGACUGACGCUCAGGUGCGAAAGCGUGGGGAGCAAACAGGAUUAGAUACCCGCGUAGUCCCUGUCUCUUAUAC